GACGAACCGUGCGAACGUUGUUCGGAUUCACUGGGCUUAAAGGGCGCGUAGGCGGGCUUGCCAGUCAGGGUGAAAUCCUCCGGCUCAACCGGAGCAGGGCCUUUGAUACUGCAAGUCUUGAGGGAGGCAGGGGCAUGUGGGAACUUCCGGUGGAGCGGUGAAAUGCGUAGAUAAUCGGAAGGAACGCCGGUGGCGAAAGCGAC
rnacentral:rRNA from 1 species